ensembl:snRNA U6 U6 spliceosomal RNA
GUGCUAGCUUCUGCAGCACAUAUACUAAAAUUGGAAUGACACAGAGGUUAGCCUGGCCCCUGUGCAAGAAUGACACACAAAUUUGUGAAGCAUUCCAUAGUUUU